GAUGAACGCUGGCGGCGUGCCUAACACAUGCAAGUCGAGCGGCAGCGAGGGGUGCUUGCACCCUGUCGGCGAGCGGCGGACGGCUGAGUAACGCGUGGGAACGUGCCCCAAAGUGAGGAAUAACUGCCCGAAAGGGUAGCUAAUACCGCAUAUUAUCUUCGGAUCAAAGGAUUUAUCCGCUUUGGGAGCGGCUCGCGUCGGAUUAGGUAGUUGGUGAGGUAAUGGCUCACCAAGCCGACGAUCCGUAGCUGGUCUGAGAGGAUGACCAGCCAGACUGGAACUGAGACACGGUCCAGACUCCUACGGGAGGCAGCAGUGAGGAAUCUUCCACAAUGGGCGAAAGCCUGAUGGAGCAACGCCGCGUGCAGGACGAAGGCCUUCGGGUUGUAAACUGCUUUUAUAAGUGAGGAACAUGACGGUAACUUAUGAAUAAGGAUCGGCUAACUACGUG
rnacentral:rRNA from 1 species